ensembl:lncRNA
GUGUCGUGUGAACUACUUAGGGCCGCACUCCUUGAAUCUUUGUGCUUUUUCUUGGUGAUUUCGCUGUUCAAAAUGUAACGAUAUUAAUGAAUCAACUGCCUGUAUCAAAUAAGAACAAAAACUCACAUAAAGACACCAUGAUGGAUUGAACAGUUGGCAAAAAUGUGACUGGAGGGUGGCAGGAGCCUAACUCUGUAUUUUUCCUGGAGCAGAUUCCGAAUCUGUUAAUUCGGUACUGGUGGCACCAUCAUAGAGCAUAGGUACUGUCAACUGAAAAAAAUGCACAACCUAAAAUUUGAGAGUUAUGCUUUAUUUGAAGAACAAAACUGAGGACUUAAGCCUAGGACAUGGCAACUCAGAUAACUCUGAGAGUGGACCGCUCCAAAGAGGCAAAGGGGGAGCCAGGAUACAUAGGAGACUUGCAACAAAGACCAGGUAGUUGGAACAUCAAAAGAUUAGUGUUCAUUAAGGAAAACCAGAUAUCUCGACUUAAGGAAUUUAGCACUUUUCUGUGUAUAGGAAGACACAAAGACUGAGGUCAUUGAAAUCAUUCCUUUCAUGUGCACCGCAGCAAUCUGGGGCCUGUAUCCUGUGCAUUUCAGCCCAAGUUGCCUCAGAGUGCCCCAUCCGGGCAGCUGUAAUGUGAUGGCUUGAUAGCUGCAACACCCUUUGUUUACUGAAGGAUGUGGCAGGUGACAGUUUUCAUUCCCAGUACCUUGAACAGUGAGAAUCGGCUAUCCUUGCAUUAUGCAGGCAAUACUCUUUACAGGAAGUAAUUCAUGCCCAUGUCAACCUUUUGGAGGUAGACUCCUAUGGUAUAAGGAAUUGGUGCCUCUCCACUGCAAGCCCUUGCUCCUCAUCCUUGUAGGUCUCCAAACCUCCAAAAGUGAAACUCGCUCAGUCGUGUCCAACUCUUUGUGACCCCAUGGACUGUAGCCCAUCAGGCUCCUUUGUCCAUGGAAUUCUCCAGGCAAGAAUAUUGGAGUGCGUAGCCAUUCCUUUCUCCAGGGGAAUCUUCCUGACCCAGGGGUUGAACCUGGGUCUCCUGCUUUGCAGGCAGAUUCUUUACCAUCUAAGCCACCAGGGAAGCCACCCAAACCUCCAAAGGCAAGGAUUAAAUCCUGUUCAUCUUUGACCUCCAGUGCUCAGCUCAGUGCCCAGCAAUCAGUAAAGAAAUUUGCUGAAAGAAUAAAGACCACCUCCUACUUGCUUACUCAACACACAAAACACAUCACCUUCCAUAGAGGUGCCACCGUCUGUGAAAGGAAUAGUGAACAGGUAUUAUUUCAAAG